AUCCUUUUGUGGAGGUAUUCCUAUCAUGUAGUGAUUAAACAUCCUCUCAUCAAGAUGAUGGAGGGUGCAAUCAGAUCAAGCUUCACUUCAGUAAUUUCAGCCCUUAACUCGUCGGUCAUAACACGUCCAAACUUGAGAAGGUCGCACCUAAAUUCCAGAUUACACUUUUCAAUGUGAAGUUACGUAACCUCCAACCCAGAGGAGAAUUAUCA